GACGAACGCUGGCGGCGUGCCUAAUACAUGCAAGUCGAACGCUUCUUUCCUCCCGAGUGCUUGCACUCAAUUGGAAAGAGGAGUGGCGGACGGGUGAGUAACACGUGGGUAACCUACCCAUCAGAGGGGGAUAACACUUGGAAACAGGUGCUAAUACCGCAUAACAGUUUAUGCCGCAUGGCAUAAGAGUGAAAGGCGCUUUCGGGUGUCGUUGAUGGAUGGACCCGCGGUGCAUUAGCUAGUUGGCGAGGUAACGGCUCACCAAGGCCACGAUGCAUAGCCGACCUGAGAGGGUGAUCGGCCACACUGGGACUGAGACACGGCCCAGACUCCUACGGGAGGCAGCAGUAGGGAAUCUUCGGCAAUGGACGAAAGUCUGACCGAGCAACGCCGCGUGAGUGAAGAAGGUUUUCGGAUCGUAAAACUCUGUUGUUAGAGAAGAACAAGGACGUUAGUAACUGAGCGUCCCCUGACGGUAUCUAACCAGAAAGCCACGGCUAACUACGUG
rnacentral:rRNA from 1 species